rnacentral:rRNA from 1 species
GCUCAAUGAUUUUUUAAAUUGCUGUAGUAUUUUGACUAUACAAAGGUAUUGAAAUAAGAUUUUAAUUGAAUGCUAAGAGAAUGGAAUUACAGAAAAUAGCUUUUUUUAGAUUAAAAAUUGAAAUUUUUUUAAUUUGUGCAGAAACAAUUAUUAAUAUUAAGGACAAGAAGACCCUAUGAAUUUAUAAAUUUAUUUUAUAUAUGUAAUUAAUAUAAAAUAAAUUUUGGUUGGGGCGACAAAAAAAAAUAAAAAACUUUUUUUUUAUAAAAUGAUCCAUUAUUAAUGAUUAUAUGAAAAAUACUCUAGGGAUAACAGCGUUAUAUUUUUUGAUAGCUCAUAUUGACAAAAAAGUUUGGGACCUCGAUGUUGGAUUAGGAUACUUUUUUAAUGAGGAUAUUAAAAAAAGAAGUUUGUUCAACUUUUAAUUCCUACUUGAUCUGAGUUCAGACCGG